GCCUACGGGUGGCAGCAGUAAGGAAUAUUGGUCAAUGGACGCAAGUCUGAACCAGCCAUGCCGCGUGAAGGAUGAAGGCCCUCUGGGUUGUAAACUUCUUUUAUCUGGGACGAAAAAAGGGCUUUCUAGCUCGACUGACGGUACCAGAGGAAUAAGCACCGGCUAACUCCGUGCCAGCAGCCGCGGUAAUACGGAGGGUGCAAGCGUUAUCCGGAUUCACUGGGUUUAAAGGGAGCGUAGGUGGGCUGGUAAGUCAGUGGUGAAAUCUCCGGGCUUAACUUGGAAACUGCCAUUGAUACUAUCAGUCUUGAAUAUUGUGGAGGUCAGCGGAAUAUGUCAUGUAGCGGUGAAAUGCUUAGAUAUGACAUAGAACACCAAUUGCGAAGGCAGCUGGCUACACAUAUAUUGACACUGAGGCUCGAAAGCGUGGGGAUCAAACAGGAUUAGAUACCCUUGUAGUC
rnacentral:rRNA from 1 species